GACGAACCGUGCAAACGUUAUUCGGAAUCACUGGGCAUAAAGGGCGCGUAGGCGGCUUCAUAAGUCAGGGGUGAAAUCCGGCAGCUUAACUGUCGCAGUGCCUUUGAUACUGUGGAGCUCGAGGCGGGUAGGGGCAUGCGGAACUGUGGGUGGAGCGGUGAAAUGCGUUGAUAUCCACAGGAACUCCGGUGGCGAAGGCGGCAUGCUGGACCCGAUCUGACGCUGAGGCGCGAAAGCCAGGGGAGCAAACGGG
rnacentral:rRNA from 1 species